UUCGGUGGUCAUGGCGGAGGGGAAACACCCGGUCCCAUUCCGAACCCGGAAGUUAAGCCCUUCAGCGCCGAUGGUACUGCAUGGGAGACUGUGUGGGAGAGUAGGACACCGCCGGAC
rnacentral:rRNA from 1 species